rnacentral:rRNA from 1 species
UAACCUGCCUUAUAGUGGGGGAUAGCCUUUCGAAAGGAAGAUUAAUACCGCNUAAGAUUGUAGUAUCGCAUGAUAUAGCAAUUAAAGGAGCAAUUCGCUAUAAGAUGGACCCGCGUCGCAUUAGCUAGUUGGUGAGGUAAUGGCUCACCAAGGCGACGAUGCGUAGCCGACCUGAGAGGGUGAUCGGCCACAUUGGGACUGAGACACGGCCCAGACUCCUACGGGAGGCAGCAUG